UCUCUGGCUCACUGAGUCCCAGAUGAAUACAGGGUUAGAAGGAGGAUCCAUUCAACUAAAGAGAAACUUCAAGUUUUGGGGUUGCUGAGAAGUUGGACAUUCAAGUUGGUUAGUCCCAGGCCACCUGGUUUUUCUCCCCCCAUAAACGGAAACAGUAGUGAGUGAGUCGGAAUAGACGGCACCAAGAGUCGAUGUCUGUUGCUCAGCCCUGGCCUCGCCUGAAGUUCCCCUUCCACCCUUCUUGAGGCAAAGGUUUGGCUCACACUCUGGCAGUGGUGGCUGACGCUGUCCUGUGUGUGCCAGGUCCCUCUGUGCGAGCUCAGGACUGCAUGUACCAUGACAGCCAGCAAAGGAGCAGCCUGGCCUGCACUGAGGCCUAACCAGUACCUAUUUUUGGUAGUUAAAUUGCUAAGCAUUUAGGGCUUGAGUACCCUGACAAAUCCUUUUAAAAUAGGCCCGAUAUUGUCUCCCCAGAGUGACUCAGCACCCCAUACAGUAGCUGUGAUUCACAAAAGUGUGGGCACCAAGGGCGUGUGGGUGCUUCUUGGAGGCUGUUCAGCUCUCCCUUCUGGAACCCAGAGGGGUCACAGCCAGGAGAGGCGGUGCCCACACGCCAUACCCUCGGGCUUCCGGAAUACCACUUUCCUCGCAGUAACAAGCUUCUGUGCUGUGCGCCCGUUGCCAACCCUCCAAGGCAAGGGCAUUUGUUGGGACAACUUCAGAGCUGCCAUGGAGUAGGGAGACACCCUGGAACUCUGCUACCUCGAUGUGGGGCAGACGUUGCCCUUAGGACUGGGACGAUGGGAAUGCCCCAUCUGGUAGAGGCCUAGCCAAGAGUCUCUGGGCGUCAGGCCCAUCCCGGCUGCUGACUCACAGUGGGGCUCAAUUUCCUACGGAGGGCAGGCCCAGCUCUGGGGAUCCCUGAAGGCUUGGUGGUGUUGAUGCCGCUAUAGACUAGGGCCAGUGGGCAGGGAGAAAGCCCUGCUGGGCCCCUGACGUUGGGGCAGUGGAGUGGACCAGGGUCGGGGAGAGAGUGGGAGGAGGAGGUAAGGUCCCACUCCCCAGGUUUGCAGAGGCAGCUAGUUUGAGUGAGGAUGGCGGGAGUCAGGCAAGCCAGGACUAAGCCCAGCCUGCACGCUGGCUUCCAGAACUGCCGGGCCACACAGCUCUCAGAUCCCAUAGCUGGCUUUAAGAGUUCCAGUUUCUCCAUGGACUCUAACAGACAGGCUAGGAAGGUUCAAAACCGAGUAAGCCGAGUUCAUAUAUAAAAACUCAAGAUGCAUUAGAACCCCGUAUCCCACUUUGAGCUUCCUCUGCAUCACAAGGGCCCCAGAAGUCACUCCAUCUUCUCCUGUAUCUCAUUACACAAAUAUGAGAUGACCGUAAGUGUCCGCUUUCUACUGCCCUCUCCAAAUGCUGUGAGAAUGAAGAAAGACCCAGAACGUGGGUGUACACUCAGAGGCUCCAGGUAAAGAGACCUCUUCCUAUACCACAGACCUGGAGGUGCGGAAGGUUAAGCAAGGAUGAAGGCAGAUAGAUGGGUGCCUGCCCUGCAGGCUUAUCAAAACAUGUAAGAAAAAAUGAGCGGGAUUAAGAGACUCCUCUGAACAGUGGUACAUCUCGGCCUGGACCCCAAGCUCAUGAAAUGAUGCCUCCUACAUUCAAAGUGGACCCCUCCCCUCCCCCCAGUUCAUCCCUUUUGGAAAAGCCCUCACAAUUCCAUUAGAAGGUGUACCUCACUGAUCCUCAGGCACCUGGGCAGCAGCUGUGGAGAGUGGUGUCACCGAGGAGAGCGAUCUCAGAGAGGCUCCCCUGGCAUUCUCCUUAGGCUGAGAACAUCCCUCACCCCGACCCCACUCCCCACAGGAAGAAAUUCAAAAGGGCAAAGGAAACCAGGCUGUCACCCAAGUCAGCACAGUAACAAACUCGGGAAGAGUCCUCUGUCCCCCACUUUUCACCUUACUUCGUAAACAUGCUUCUUAUGAACAUCUGGACGUCACCCGAGGAAACCCCAUGGCUGAUAUGGCUGAUGACAUUUCUACCUUUCUGGUCACUCUCUUCUGAGGCUUGUCAAGUUUUCCUGUCAUAACAUGAAUAAGUAUUUUUUAGCUUCUUUUUUAAUCCAUCUUUCUAAAACAUUAUUUCAUAUUCAUGUUUUCUUGUAUCGACAGUCUUCAUGUUUCUCUGUUUAAAUUAGGAUUCUGUAGCUCUACUGUGAAUGUCACAGUUUGUUUCCAGUUGGAUAUUUGUAUGAUUUCUAACUUAGCAGAACUAAUAACCCCAAUAUUUCAAUCAGUAGCUCUCUUGUCCCUGGGGACUUAUGUAUUCAGGACUGUGUGCCCCUAAACAGAGAGAUUGGAUCACACCUAGGUCUCUGCUCUUUCUACUGCAAGGUUACUCUACAGAGAGAUGCAGUCAGUGCACAGGGCUUCCAACCCAUUUAGAUGUGCCCUUAUGUGCCCAGCACAGAGUGGAGCUACCAUUGACUUUUGUCAUUUAUAGUCACUUUAGCCUGUCAAAUUGGGAAAGGUAAAAUAGUCAGGAAUACAGAAAAUAUAUCAAAGGAGCUGAUCUGCAAGAUGGAACCAAGAAACAGAACCGGACGCCUCCUAAGACAAAAGCUCCAAGGGAAACUGGCCGAAUGAGGCUUGUUCACAAUGGUCACCUGUCUAGGGCACGUUGUGGGCUGUCCUGGAUUGAAAAUUCAGGGUCAUCCAAGGUGGAGUCAUAUUCAGCAAAUGAGUAGCAGAGCCCAUAUUAUUUUAAGAUGUGUUACAUUUGUUUAUGCUGUGGGACAUUUGUUUAAUGAUGCAAAGAUGUGUUGCAUUCUUUAUGUGGCAUUUGUUUAACUCUGCGAAGCUGUGUUACUUUGCCUGUCUAAAA